ensembl:lncRNA
GCGCGCUCCGGGCCUGGGGACGGUGGGGACUUGGGGCCACCUGCCCCGCUGUGGGGCUCCCCGUGUGCCCAGCUCGCGUCCUGCCCCGAAGGAGGGCUGGCGCUCGGGGGCUUUUCCCCAGCUCUGCCCCGACUCGCUGCCCGCCCUUGGGCGCAUCGCGGGACGCCCUGGCCGUGCUCUGCGUUUUCCCUCCUCCCCGGAGCAGCCCAGCCGCUUCUCUCUCCUGCCUGCUGCUUUCUGGGAUUUAAUCUGGGCGUGGGAUUGUUAUUUUUUGGGUUCCCAAGGAUGCCGCCGCGCAGGCGGCGGGGACAGCUGACUGCAGCAGCUGUGGGGUAGCGUGCGGCAGAGGGAGAGGGAUGGGUGUGGGAGGGAAGGAGGUGUACUGUGAGCAAUGACCCCUCGCUGCUCCCGGUUUGCGUCCAGGCUGGAGUCCCUGGUGGAUAACAACGCACCAGCGCUGACAGGAGCUUUUCCCAUGGUUUACUUCCUGCUGGAGCUUCUCUGGUGCCUAGGAGAAGGGCUGAGCUCUAGCUGCAGCCUUUCUUGAGGGGUUAGGGGAAAAUAGAUGUAACCUUUCUUGUCUCCUUGUUUUCAUGCAAUGUGAAGGGAGCAAAUAUCCCUGAGACGUCUGCUCCUCCAGCAAAUGUGGCUGAGAUUGGGCAAUGGGUUAAAAUGUUACUGGGGGAAGGGACUCUCCCACGCGCACACACGCAUACUCAAAGCAGGAUCGAAUAAGCAUCGUUUCCAUAGGAAAACAGGCUAAAUAUAACCAGCAUCCGUCCCUGCCACCGAGGAGGUCUUCCAUGUGCAGCACUGGCCCAGCUGGAGAAGUCCAUAGUGGGGAUUUGUCCUGUUGUGAGACGGGGGAAAUCCAGUGGCUUUCAGCAGCGAGUAUCAUACAAGCAAGAAUGUCUUGGCAGGCUGGCCUUCCCGUUAGGAAAACAGAUGUUUCUACAGCAAUUGAAGUUUUGUGAAGAGCUUCCCCUCAGCCUUGGAGGGACAAGAAUCAGCAAUGCCUACCUGAGAGCUGUCGACGUGAAGAUCCUGCAGCAGCUGGUGGUGGUGAACGAGGGCAUCGAGGCAGUGAAAUGGCUGCUGGAGGAGAAGAGGACGCUGACCAGCCGCUGCCGCCNNNNNNNNNNNNNNNNNNNNNNNNNNNNNNNNNNNNNNNNAAUGACAGGCGGCACAGCAUCUCCACCGGCAGCUCCCUGGACACACGGGCUGAUGACAUGGAUGAGUAUUCCCAGAACGCUGCCGAGCCUGUCACAGCAUCCGCACCAGGCAGAGCCCUGGCCAGGGCAGAGCAGGACUGGGCCAGGAUUGACCUCGACCGGGGCUUACCUGCAAAGCAAGAGAAGGGCAAAGUGGAGCAUGAGUGGCCCCAUGCAGACCACCUGCUUGCUGGGCUGCCCCAGGAUCAGAGUUGUCUGGACCAGCAACGGUUUGCUAAGGAGCCCCAAGUGGCCAAUGGCUAUUUGGGCAAGCAGCCCUCCUCUCUGGAACCAGGCAAAGACACCAAACUGCCACCAGGGGCUGGGGAAAGGAUGGGGAAGGGGAUCCCAGGUGGGAAGGCUCGGAAAGCUGAAGCUGACUUAGAGAACUGCAAAUUCAACAGCAAAGCGCACCUGGAAUAUGACGCCCACUGGCGCUGGCUCCAGUCUCAGGAUGAUGUGACGUUCUUGUAGCCUAUGGCUUCACGUUUUCCCAGUCCAGCUCUGCCAACCAUCUGCUCUGCUUCAUGUGUUUCUGCUUGGGAGAGUGGUAUGGCUAGGGAGCGGGAGAUGGGCUGGCUUGGCUGUGUCGUGCUGUCCCUCUGACCCCUCUGGCAGUGUUUGGUGAUACAGCACCAGGGGCUUGGGGUGGGGUGCCCACCCCGUGGCAAAUUCCCUGGGAGAGGCAGGGCAAGGUGGGUCCCUGUAAGUUUAAUCCUUUGCUACAGGGUGAUGCUUGCAUGUAGCUGGUCCCAUGAGGGGACCUGGUGGCUGGUCACUCCUCCAUUGUCCUUGAAGAGGGACAUUUGCUUGAGCUGGCAGUGAAGGGUUGGUGGAGGACACCUGGGAAGACAGGACUCCUGGGUUCUCUCCUUGGCUCUGCCUCAGUCCUCUCUUCCUCAGCCGCUCAUCUGCAAAAACUGGGGACCCUUCCCCAAACCCACUACCCAGACAGGACAGGAGAUGCUCCCACACAUCCACAGCUUCGUGGCACCAGCCUGCUUGAUGCAAUCUGUGGGGCAGGACUGUGAGCAGAGUGCUCUGAGCAUCUCUAUGGGACAGGCUCAUCUCCAACAUCUCUUUUAAGGCCAGUGUCUAUCAAGGGUGAUUACACAUGAGAAGAGCAGAGCACUUGGUGGGAGAUGGAGAUCCAGUUUUCCUCUUUUGUUUUUGGACCUUGUGACCAAAACACAAGGAGACCCCAGAUGAGCAGUGCUGGUCUUGAUAAAGUGGAAGUGUAUGGACAGCCUGGCAGAGUCUGUGGGGUUCAAACUACUGUUGAAAGUCUUGUGCUUUCCCCUGGUACAGCAUGAUGGAGGCGAUGGCCGGGAUUCUCCAUCUGUGUGCUGAAUGGUGGCAGGUCCCUGCAGCCAGCCAGCAACCAGAAACAUGAGGUUCUUCUGCAGGGGUGGAUUUACUAUGACCCUGCUCUAGAGACAUCUCUCCUUUUAGCCUUGGCUUCUUCCUGUGCCUUUUACCAUCCACGUGCUAUGCUUUCCAGCACACCCUCUCGCUAUCUUAUAGAGCAUGGCUUACAACUGGAGCUGUGUUAGCUUGGCAGAAACCGCUCCCUGUAAACAAGGAUACAGGGAAGGACCUUGGCAUCCUGUAGCCUCCGCUUCGAGGAGAGGGGCUCUUCCACCUGCACAGCCGUUGGGAGACGAGCCUGGAGUGCCCUGGCUUUACUACCUGUGAGUGCAUCUGCUCCUGGCUGAGCAUGGAGACAGCCUCUUUCGGGGCUUGGUGCUGUUGUUCCCCUCCGUCUGUGAAUCCCAGCCUGACUCUUUCCUCAUUGUGGUGAUGGAAGUUGGGAUAAUGUCUCCUGAAGUCACUGGGAAACCAAGAGAGGGGGGAAGACGUUGUGAAUGUUUCUAGAGCAGAAGUAGUAUGGGCUGGACGUAUUUAGGAAGGUGGUUGGGGGCACGCUGGGGUCUGCCAGAGUUCAGCCUUGCUCCUCUGAAGCGGCAUCUUCAGUGGGACUCCCCUCCUUGCUGAGUCUUGUGAGCACCCUCCUUCCCCACAGCAGCAGGGGUGAUCCUCAGGGCUCUCCUGGGUGGACACGGAGAGCUUUUUGCAUUCAUGGCCAAGAGCAGGGCAAAACUCAAAUUCUCGGAGAUGGUGUCUGUCAAGGUCCUGGGGGAAUCCCAACAAACCAGAGGUGGGCUGCCCUACGCAAGCGCAUCCCAUCUGCCUGCCCUUGAGUAGCUGCGCUUGGCUUGUGAUCAUCUGUAAGCACCUUAUAGCUUCCUGAAUAGGUGGCCAUGCCACUGCCAGCUGAGCCACUGCCCUCGAGCUGUCUGUCCCCGGCUUUUCUUUAGCCCCGCGUGCAAUGAAUCAACUGUGGGUCCCGGGGGAGAUUGGGUAAGUCCUCCAACGCUAUUGAAAACCAUUGUCAACAAAAAUAGCUGGCUUAAUAAAUGGUAGCGUUUCUGCA